rnacentral:lncRNA from 1 species
UAUCAAGAUAAAAAUUGAAAAAAAAUGAUUUGGUUGAGUUUGUUGAAUCGAAUCGAACCAAACCAAACUGCUCAAUUCAUCUAGUACCGAGUCGAAUGGGUCACCAACCAAUACAAGUCCCAUUACAAGUUUUGUAGACCUUUGAUAAAAAACUAUCACAACAAUUCCUGUAAAGUGCAUCCAUGAUGAUUCAAAUACACAUCAUGAACCUCCGUUAUCAUACUUGUGCUACAACAUGUCCAAAAUAAAGUUGCAUUAUGCAUGCUAUUGCUGUCGAUCUCUCUGUCUAAGGUCGGAUGCC